ACGAACGCUGGCGGCGUGCCUAAUACAUGCAAGUCGAACGCUGAAGGAGGAGCUUGCUUCUCUGGAUGAGUUGCGAACGGGUGAGUAACGCGUAGGUAACCUGCCUGGUAGCGGGGGAUAACUAUUGGAAACGAUAGCUAAUACCGCAUAACAGUAGAUAUCGCAUGAUAUCUACUUGAAAGGUGCAAUUGCAUCACUACCAGACGGACCUGCGUUGUAUUAGCUAGUUGGUGAGGUAACGGCUCACCAAGGCGACGAUACAUAGCCGACCUGAGAGGGUGAUCGGCCACACUGGGACUGAGACACGGCCCAGACUCCUACGGGAGGCAGCAGUAGGGAAUCUUCGGCAAUGGACGGAAGUCUGACCGAGCAACGCCGCGUGAGUGAAGAAGGGUUUCGGAUCGUAAAGCUCUGUUGUAAGAGAAGAACGAGUGUGAGAGUGGAAAGUUCACACUGUGACGGUAUCUUACCAGAAAGGGACGGCUAACUACGUG
rnacentral:rRNA from 1 species